ensembl:lncRNA novel transcript, antisense to NRXN3
AAGAUAUGCCAGCUGCAAUGAAGAGAAGCCCUGUUUCAGUUCGUGGAUUACAGACUGCAACAUCCAUCAGCAUCAAGACAAACACCUUCAAACUACUGUCCUUGGCGUCCAGCCUAACAGAUCUGAGGAAUGUGAUAAAGGAACACUGGAUUCCCAAGGUCUGCUCAGGUUUCCUUCCAUAACAAGAAGUAGCCAAAUACAGCUGAACAGGCCUGUUCAGAGGUUCGUAACCUGCUCAAUGGUUUAAACAACAACAACAAGCAGUAUCGGAAGUCAGCAUCAUCUACUCAGCAGCCCAAAUCUGGAAGGUUUUGGAAAAAAUCAGGACACCACUGUUAACCACCUUAACAAGACUGCAAACACAGGCUGUCUAUUCCUCAUCAACAGAAUCUUUGAUACUGGCAAUUUGUUUAGAUUGGCUUGCAGAAGCAUAUAUUGGUAGCUAUGUUAUGAAUAUUUACCGGUUUCAUACACAUUCAUAAAAAUCAGAAACAUUUUCCUCCUAGGUAUCUGCAUUGGUCUUGAAUGGCUGUUUAAAAAUAAUCAGAAACCCCCACUC